GACGAACGCUGGCGGCGUGCCUAAUACAUGCAAGUUGAGCGAUGAAGAUUGGUGCUUGCACCAAUUUGAAGAGCAGCGAACGGGUGAGUAACGCGUGGGGAAUCUGCCUUUGAGCGGGGGACAACAUUUGGAAACGAAUGCUAAUACCGCAUAACAACUUUAAACAUAAGUUUUAAGUUUGAAAGAUGCAAUUGCAUCACUCAAAGAUGAUCCCGCGUUGUAUUAGCUAGUUGGUGAGGUAAAGGCUCACCAAGGCGAUGAUACAUAGCCGACCUGAGAGGGUGAUCGGCCACAUUGGGACUGAGACACGGCCCAAACUCCUACGGGAGGCAGCAGUAGGGAAUCUUCGGCAAUGGACGAAAGUCUGACCGUGCAACGCCGCGUGAGUGAAGAAGGUUUUCGGAUCGUAAAACUCUGUUGGUAGAGAAGAACGUUGGUGAGAGUGGAAAGCUCAUCAAGUGACGGGAACUACCCAGAAAGGGACGGCUAACUACGU
rnacentral:rRNA from 1 species